rnacentral:rRNA from 1 species
UACGGGGGGGGCAAGCGUUGUUCGGAAUUACUGGGCGUAAAGGGCUCGUAGGCGGCUAACUAAGUCAGACGUGAAAUCCCUCGGCUUAACCGGGGAACUGCAUCUGAUACUGGAUGGCUUGAGAUUGGGAGAGGGAUGCGGAAUUCCAGGUGUAGCGGUGAAAUGCGUAGAUAUCUGGAGGAACACCGGUGGCGAAGGCGGCAUCCUGGACCAACACUGACGCUGAGGAGCGAAAGCCAGGGGAGCAAACGGG